CAAAGCAAAAGGAAGUCCCUGCCCUGAGGAUCUCAGCUUAAACAGAUGAGACACAUGGAAACGAUUCACUCAGGACUACUGCAGAAACAGGAGGUGUCACAGCAUGAACACAGCUUCAGAAAAGCAGCAAGGACCUCAAGAGAGUGCCUAAUCCGACCUUUUUCAUGGAGGCUAUAUCAAGAUGCUUGAUUGCCUGGCUUGCCCUUCACAGUGGUAUUAGCGUGUAGAUACUAGUUGCUGGGCUGCCUUACACACCUGUGGGUAUAUGCGUUAAGACUCUCAGUUGGUUACAAGCAAAGUGUAAAGGGCAGCAGGCCGAGCAAGGUGAUGUGGGAAGGUCUCUGGAGUUGGUGUUUUUCAUUCACAUCUACUAAUAAGUUGGGGCUAAACCCUCUAGUUUGAGGAAAAGGCCAACAGAGAAUUUUACAGCUAUAGACAAAUUUCUAAAAGGCUUUGGCUCAUUAAGCAUCAGCAACAAAUUGCACAGGAAUGCCUGAAUAUAUUCUAAAAACAAAUAAAGUGUGAGGUAAACACACAGAGGGCUUUUCUUCCGCUCAGAGGCUAAGUAAUUUUCUCAUCUUUUCUAAAGCUCUGCAGGCAGGAGCUUUAAUGGAGUUUAGGAAAGGUGUACAAAUAGAUGUAUGUAAACAUUACUUAGGCAACCAUUUCAUCUCAGGAAGGAUUCGCUGGCUUAGCAAGUUAAGGAGAGAAAUUGAUGUUUUCCUGGGAUCUAUGGGUGAUCUUAGCUUAGGGGUGAUCAUAGUGCCCCCAUGACUCUGCUGCCUGUAUUUUGUGAAGGAGAUGGUUAAGAGAAAAGUAAUAGGCUUAAGAUCGUUCUGGCUGGUAAACAUUCAGGCUUGAAGUGGAACUAGGAAUGAUGGCGCUUGGUCUGUUCAGAUUGUCUCUACCUCUUCUUCUUGUGACACUCUGUAUUAUAAACUUAAAUCACUAGUGUAUGGCAGGAAUCUUACCUUCAUUGAACUGAGGGAGGUGUUAAAAUCCUGCUCUGAUCAGUAUCAGGGAAAAUAUCUGUUUGAAGAAGAAAUAGAUUACCUGUAUCUGUAUAUGAACUGUGAUGAUGCUAUCAGUACUUUGAAGUGACUUGGAAGUCUCACAUGUAGUAUCCUUAUAUCAUCAUGCUUGUCUGGCAGCCUUGGAGAAUGCCUUUCUGAGAUGAAGUUCCAGAAUGGUUCAGCAUCCUGUAAAUUUAUAAACCAGUAAGUUUGUGUAAGAUAUUAAUGCUUGGACACUUACAGCUAUUCUUUUGACAAGUCUGGGGAGAAGAGCAAAUAAUUCUUAGCACUCCUAUUCAUAGUGCUAAAACAAUAUGAAUCAAUGAGUUUAGAUUA